GCAGUGAGUCAGCUUGGAGCCUGGUUUCCUGUAGCUCAUGAAUGGCAAGCUGAGAAAUGAACUACGGGCUUUAUUCUUGCGGUUCUAGGUUUCGAGUCGUAAGUAGAAAGACCUUGGCCCACUCUGAGGUUAUAAAGCAUUAUUAGCAUCAUCAUUAUUCUGGCUGGAGCAAUCGCACUUAUCAUCGGUUUUGGUAUUUCAGG